rnacentral:rRNA from 1 species
UACAGAGGGUGCGAACGUUGCUCGGAAUUACUGGGCGUAAAGCGCACGUAGGCGGCUCAACAAGUCGGAUGUGAAAUCCCUCGGCUCAACCAAGGAAGUGCACCCGAAACUGUCGAGCUUGAAUAUGGAAGAGGGUCGCGGAAUUCCCGGUGUAGAGGUGAAAUUCGUAGAUAUCGGGAGGAACACCGGUGGCGAAGGCGGGUCUCUGGGCCGUAACUGACGCUGAGGAGCGAAAGCGUGGGGAGCGAACAGG